rnacentral:rRNA from 1 species
AAAAACGGGUUUUCGUAGGUGACCUGCGGAGGAUCAUUAUCGAAAUUCGAAGAGGGAAGAUCGAAUAGUAGUAGUCUAGGAUUGUCGCUGGCUCUUCAUGUGCAUGUGCACGUCCUUGCUAUCUAUCUAUCUCUGUCGACCUUUCUUCAACUUCAUACACACCUGUGCACCUAUUGUAGGUCCUUGAAAGAGGAUCUAUGUUUUUCACUUCACAUCCCUAUCGUAUGUCUAUAGAAUGUUAUCUCAAAGACCGUUCGGUCAAUGAAAUAAAAAUCAUAUACAACUUUCAGCAACGGAUCUCUUGGCUCUCGCAUCGAUGAAGAACGCAGCGAAUUGCGAUAAGUAAUGUGAAUUGCAGAUUUCCAGUGAAUCAUCGAAUCUUUGAACGCACCUUGCGCUCCUUGGUAUUCCGAGGAGCAUGCCUGUUUGAGUGUCAUUUAAUUCUCAACCAUGUCUUCAUUGACUUGGCUUGGAGUUGGGGGUUUGCUGGUAGCUUUAUUGUCAUCAGCUCUCCUGAAAUGCAUUAGUGAUCAGUAGUUAUUGGGCAUGCACGGCCUUAUCGACGUGAUAAUGAUCGUCGAGGGCUGGAGUGUCCUUGACCAACUAGAUUGCUUACUCUACUACUACUACUUCUUGCUUUAGUUAUCAGCUGGUGACUCGGCGAACACCAAAGUGUAGAUGUAUGUUAUCUUUGAAACUUGACCUCAAAUCAGGUAGGACUACCCGCUGAACUUAAGCAUAUCAAUAAGCGGGAGGAA